rnacentral:rRNA from 1 species
GGUGAACCUGCGGAAGGAUAGU